rnacentral:rRNA from 1 species
GACGUAGGUGGCGAACGUUAUCCGGAAUUAUUGGGCGUAAAGGAUGCGUAGAUGGUGUAGUAAGUUAUCGGUGGUAAAUCGAGGCUCAACCUCGUGGAAGUCGGUAAUACUGCUAUGCUAGAGGAUAGGAGAGGUUAACGGAACUCCCUGUGGAGCGGUGAAAUGCGUAGAUAUAGGGAAGACCCCCAAUAGGGCAAGGCAGUUAACUAUUCUAUUCCUGACAUUGAGGCAUGAAAGCGUGGGGAGCAAAACGG